GCGUGUCGGGAAAGACGUGUGUGCUGAGAAAGAAUCCUAGCGACAACCAGACAGAACUCCCUUGCAAUGAAAAAACCCCUUCUGUGUAUAAAGACUUACAGAUUUGUCUCGUAUCGUCCUGCUGCAAGCGAUCGUUCCAGUGUCCUGUCGCAGCCAGGCAUCGUGUCAGUGUGGAAAUGCAUAAUUACAAUAGAAUUUACGGUAUAAGUUGUGUUAAAUCAAUGUUAAUCGCUGUAGCGAAGUGGGGUAUUACAAUAAAUACAUUAUUUUAUGUAAAGU